rnacentral:rRNA from 1 species
GCGUGCUUAACACAUGCAAGUCGAACGGAAAGGCCCUGCUUUUGUGGGGUGCUCGAGUGGCGAACGGGUGAGUAACACGUGAGUAACCUGCCCUUGACUUUGGGAUAACUUCAGGAAACUGGGGCUAAUACCGGAUAGGAGCUCCUGCUGCAUGGUGGGGGUUGGAAAGUUUCGGCGGUUGGGGAUGGACUCGCGGCUUAUCAGCUUGUUGGUGGGGUAGUGGCUUACCAAGGCUUUGACGGGUAGCCGGCCUGAGAGGGUGACCGGCCACAUUGGGACUGAGAUACGGCCCAGACUCCUACGGGAGGCAGCAGUGGGGAAUAUUGCACAAUGGGCGGAAGCCUGAUGCAGCAACGCCGCGUGCGGGAUGACGGCCUUCGGGUUGUAAACCGCUUUCGCCUGUGACGAAGCGUGAGUGACGGUAAUGGGUAAAGAAGCACCGGCUAACUACGUGCCAGCAGCCGCGGUGAUACGUAGGGUGCGAGCGUUGUCCGGAUUUAUUGGGCGUAAAGGGCUCGUAGGUGGUUGAUCGCGUCGGAAGUGUAAUCUUGGGGCUUAACCCUGAGCGUGCUUUCGAUACGGGUUGACUUGAGGAAGGUAGGGGAGAAUGGAAUUCCUGGUGGAGCGGUGGAAUGCGCAGAUAUCAGGAGGAACACCAGUGGCGAAGGCGGUUCUCUGGGCCUUUCCUGACGCUGAGGAGCGAAAGCGUGGGGAGCGAACAGGCUUAGAUACCCUGGUAGUCCACGCUGUAAACGGUGGGUACUAGGUGUGGGGUCCAUUCCACGGGUUCCGUGCCGUAGCUAACGCUUUAAGUACCCCGCCUGGGGAGUACGGCCGCAAGGCUAAAACUCAAAGGAAUUGACGGGGCCCCGCACAAGCGGCGGAGCAUGCGGAUUAAUUCGAUGCAACGCGUAGAACCUUACCUGGGUUUGACAUGGAUCGGGAGUGCUCAGAGAUGGGUGUGCCUCUUUUGGGGUCGGUUCACAGGUGGUGCAUGGCUGUCGUCAGCUCGUGUCGUGAGAUGUUGGGUUAAGUCCCGCAACGAGCGCAACCCUUGUUCACUGUUGCCAGCACGUUAUGGUGGGGACUCAGUGGAGACCGCCGGGGUCAACUCGGAGGAAGGUGGGGAUGACGUCAAGUCAUCAUGCCCCUUAUGUCCAGGGCUUCACGCAUGCUACAAUGGCUGGUACAGAGAGUGGCGAGCCUGUGAGGGUGAGCGAAUCUCGGAAAGCCGGUCUCAGUUCGGAUUGGGGUCUGCAACUCGACCUCAUGAAGUCGGAGUCGCUAGUAAUCGCAGAUCAGCAACGCUGCGGUGAAUACGUUCCCGGGGCUUGUACACACCGCCCGUCAAGUCAUGAAAGUUGGUAACACCCGAAGCCGGUGGCCUAACCGUUGUGGGGGAGCCGUCGAAGGUGGGACUGGUGAUUAGG